CUUUUUGGUCUCCUGCAGGCGGUCGAAGUUCACAAAAAAUAUCAAAUGUGGUUCAACAGUAAACAAAGAUUUCAUUCCGCAAAACCUGAGACUUCUCACACUUCUGACACUUUUCUGCAAAACCUGAGACGUCUCACACAGAACCCUUCUUUGCAGAUACUCUUUUCUGUUGUUGUUUGUUUAAUCAUCUUACUCCUUGGGUGGGCAACCAUCACCAGGCACACUCCGCGGACUAGGCGCCACCUCGGAUGGAAACUCGUCUGGGCGGUCCCCUAAGGUGAAAAGCUCUGAGCACAGAGAGGGAAGGACAAAGACCGGUGAAAGCUAUUGUCUACAGCAUGACUGCUCUCCUGGGGGCAGAACCUAUGUGACCUAAUCUUCUAACAGCCUGAUUUCCUGAUUCAGUUAUAUUGGCGGUUUUUUUCCACAUACUGCAAUUACUCAAAAUGA